rnacentral:tRNA from 1 species
GGACGUAUAGCUCAGUUGGUUAGAGCGUUCGCUUCACACGCGAAAGGUCAGGGGUUCGAGUCCCUUUACGUCCACAA